rnacentral:rRNA from 1 species
GACGAACGCUGGCGGCGUGCCUAAUACAUGCAAGUAGAACGCACAGUUUAUACCGUAGCUUGCUACACCAUAGACUGUGAGUUGCGAACGGGUGAGUAACGCGUAGGUAACCUGCCUGGUAGCGGGGGAUAACUAUUGGAAACGAUAGCUAAUACCGCAUAAUAUUAAUUAUUGCAUGAUAAUUAAUUGAAAGGUGCAAUUGCACCACUACCAGAUGGACCAGCGUUGUAUUAGCUAGUAGGUGAGGUAACGGCUCACCUAGGCGACGAUACAUAGCCGACCUGAGAGGGUGAUCGGCCACACUGGGACUGAGACACGGCCCAGACUCCUACGGGAGGCAGCAGUAGGGAAUCUUCGGCAAUGGACGAAAGUCUGACCGAGCAACGCCGCGUGAGUGAAGAAGGUUUUCGGAUCGUAAAGCUCUGUUGUAAGAGAAGAACGGGUGUGAGAGUGGAAAGUUCACACUGUGACGGUAUCUUACCAGAAAGGGACGGCUAACUACGUG